UACGGAGGGGGCUAGCGUUGUUCGGAAUUACUGGGCGUAAAGCGCGCGUAGGCGGCUUUGUAAGUCAGAGGUGAAAGCCCGGAGCUCAACUUCGGAAUAGCCUUUGAGACUGCAUCGCUUGAAUCCGGGAGAGGUGAGUGGAAUUCCGAGUGUAGAGGUGAAAUUCGUAGAUAUUCGGAAGAACACCAGUGGCGAAGGCGGCUCACUGGACCGGUAUUGACGCUGAGGUGCGGAAGCGUGGGGAGCAAACAGG
rnacentral:rRNA from 1 species